UGCCGGCCAGCUUUAGGUCAGUGCGUCCACUGUGUGGAGACACUGCCUCCCAGGAGCCCUCCCUGACUCCUUGCCACAUGGCCCUGAAGACAGGAAGGAAUAAGAUGGAGGAAUAGACGAGCAGAGCUUAGACAGUUUUCGGGGUGAAAUACUGCACAUGACGCCACAGUGGCAUCAGGAUACAUUUGUCCGAACUUCAGCAGGCACGAUGCCAAGAGUGAGCCCUGUGUGGACCAUGCCUGUGGGAGGGAGAGUGAGAUGCAGGCAAGCAAACACUGAUAAGUGUUAAAUGUGACGACUCAGGAAUGCCUUUGGUCCUUUGC